CUGCAGCCCGAGUGGUGACCGAUAUUAUUGAGCCUAAAGCGUCCGUAGCCGGUCUGGUAAAUUUUUGGGUAAAUCGGGCAGCUCAACUGUCCGAGUUCCGAGGAGACUGCCAGACUUGGGACCGGGAGAGGUCAGAGGUACUCCAGGGGUAGGGGCUAAAUCCUGUAAUCCUUGGGGGACCACCAGUGGCGAAGGCGUCUGACUAGAACGGAUUCGACGGUAAGGGACGAAACCCUGGGUCGCAAACCGGAUUAGAUACCCGCGUAGUCC
rnacentral:rRNA from 1 species